CAUGAAGAAGAAGGCUGAGACUAGAAGAAUGGAUUAGAAUUCAUGAGCCAUUUGUUCAGCUUUGAAUUGAUAGAGCCCUGGCUAGCUGCAGAGGCCAGAGCAAACACUGGCUGAGGCCCUGCAGGACGGACCUGCUCUCUUAAUCUUCCUCUGACAAGACACUGUCCAGGAGCUCUGGGAUGCCAUAUGGGAAGGUCAGCUCUGCUGACCACCAUGUUAGAGUGAGGCUGUUGGCAGCCACUGUGGACCACCGCCCCUGCUUCAUACAUCUCUUAUAUGGACAGAGCUUAGAUGGACACAGCCAUGCAUGUACCGCAUACAAGAAUGGAAUACGUGAUUAGUAUAUCGGCAACACAGAGGGCAGAGUUGGUGAGACAAAGACAGUCAGGGUCACUGGAGGGGACAGCCUCUCAGCCUUCAGAUUGUGGCUUCUGGAGUCUGAGGAAGGCCUGUGGUGUUUCCAGAGAAAUCCUUGAAAAUGGCAGCCUCAGGGUUCAUCCACCAAG